rnacentral:rRNA from 1 species
AAACUCGUAAGUUGGAACUACCGGGGACUCGGGAACGACUCGACACUUCAAUCUCUUCUCGAACUGGGAAGAAUGGAGGAACCCGAUAUCUUAUUUCUAUGUGAGACUAGGCUGAAGGAAAAGGAGUUGGGAAGAUUUCGAUGGCUGUUGGGGCUCGCCAACAUGGUCGCUUGGAAGGAUGAAGGAAGCGGUAGAGGGGUGGCACUGUUCUGGAGGCAGGGAGUUGAUGUUACUCUUCGAUCAUACAGGAGGAGGCAUGUGGAUGUGGAUGUAACCAGGGAGGAUGGAUCAGUCUAG